rnacentral:rRNA from 1 species
UAAAAUAAUUAAGGGCACACAGGGAAUGCCUAGGUAGUAAGAGCCGAUGAAGGACGUGGUAAGCUGCGAUAAGCUUGGGUUAGCUGCAAACGAGCGCCAACCCCAAGAUUUCCGAAUGGAGCAAUCUGCUAAGAUGGAGUCUUAGCACGAAAGAGGGUACCGAGUGAACUGAAACAUCUAAGUAACUCGAGGAAAAGAAAGUAAAAACGAUUCCCCAAGUAGCGGCGAGCGAACGGGGAUGAGCCUAAACCAUAUAAGUGUCAAGGAUACAGCCGUUGCUUAUAUGGGGUUGUGGGAAGAACGUUUGAAGAACUGUAAGAUAUUCAACAUAUCUAAUGACCGAACUGGAACUAGUUGGAAAGCUAGAUCGUAGAAGGUGAUAAUCCUGUACAGGUAAACUCAUUAGAAUGUAUGUUCUCUCCCAAGUAACAUGGAACACGAGGAAUUCUGUGUGAAUCUGCGAGGACCAUAUCUCGUAAGGCUAAAUACUCUUACUAACCGAUAGCGUAUAGUACCGUGAGGGAAAGGUGAAAAGAACCCCGGGAGGGGAGUGAAAUAGAACCUGAAACCGUAUGUCUACAAGCAGUCGAAGCACCUUAAGAGUGCGACGGCGUGCCUAUUGAAGAAUGAACCGGCGAGUUACAUUAUGUUGCGAGGUUAAGUGGGAGACACGGAGCCGAAGCGAAAGCGAGUCUUAAUAGGGCGACUAGUAACAUGGUGUAGACCCGAAACCGCAGUGAUCUAUCCAUGGUCAGGUUGAAGCGCAGGUAAAAAUGCGUGGAGGACCGAACCCGUGAGUGUUGAAAAACUUUGGGAUGAACCGUGGAUAGGGGUGAAAUGCCAAUCGAACGCGGAGAUAGCUGGUACUCCCCGAAAUAGCUUUAGGGCUAGCCUCAGGGAAGAUUAUAGACGGUAGAGCACUGAUCUGGCAAGGGGGCGUAAAGCCUACCGACCCUAGUCAAACUUCGAAUGGCUAUAAUUAAGACCCUGGGAGUCAGACUGCGAGUGAUAAGACCCGUAGUCAAGAGGGAAACAGCCCAGACCGCCGACUAAGGUCCCCAAUGCUGUACUAAGUGGAAAAGGAUGUAAGACUUCAUAAACAACCAGGAUGUUGGCUUAGAAGCAGCCAUCAUUAAAAGAGUGCGUAAUAGCUCACUGGUCGAGAGGCCUUGCGCCGAAGAUGUCCGGGGCUCAAGUACAGAACCGAAGUCGCGGCAGGAUUAUAUAAUUCUGGGUAGGGGAGCGUUGUAUAUCCGACUGAAGGUGUACCGGAAGGAGCGCUGGAGGAUAUACAAGAGAGAAUGCCGGUAUGAGUAGCGAAAAGAACAGUGAGAAUCUGUUCCACCGAAAGCCUAAGGUUUCCUGAGCAACGCUCGUCGACUCAGGGUAAGUCGGGACCUAAGCCGAGGCAAAAAGCAUAGGCGAUGGACAACAGGUUAAUAUUCCUGUACCGCUUCAAAUCGUUUGAGCAAUGGAGUGACACAGAAGGUAGCUUGAGCACGCGAUUGGAUGUGCGUGUCGAAGGUGGUAGGUUGCAGUAUAGGCAAAUCCGUACUGUAUAAGACCGAGAACUGAUAGAUAGACGAUACUUCGGUAAAGUCAAAUUCAAGUGAGCCAUGCUGUCGAGAAAAGCUUCUAGUGAGAGAUGAGGCGCCCGUACCGAAACCGACACAGGUAGGCGGGGAGAGAAUCCUAAGGUGCGCGGGACAACCCUCGUUAAGGAACUCGGCAAAUUGUAUCCGUAACUUAGGGAUAAGGAUAGCCGGAGGAUGUGAAGGGAUUUACUUCUGGAGCGUCAGCCGGUGGCACAAGAGAGGCCCAAGCGACUGUUUAGCACAAACACAGGUGCCUGCAAAAGAGAAAUCUGACGUAUAGGUGCUGACACCUGCCCGGUGCUGGAAGGUUAAGAGGAGGGCUUAGAGGCAACUCGAAGGCUUGAAUUGAAGCCCCAGUAAACGGCGGCCGUAACUAUAACGGUCCUAAGGUAGCGAAAUUCCUUGUCGGGU